AUCCUUUGGAUCUGGCAUUUGGGUCAGUAAACAGUGACUGAGACUGAACUCAAAAGAAGCACCAAUUUUUCACCUAAUUCCAAAAUGAUGGGGAACAAAGGACAUGCAGAAAAUCUUUCUCAUUGAAUAUACAUUUGGAUCUAGGUUGGAUUGACAAACAGUAGGUAGUUUCAAAGAGUCUAGUGGUUUUACAUCACUAUGGCAGUGACCCUUUAAUAACUUGCCUUAGUGAUAUUCUUUCAGGGGACAAAAGCACCAUGGAGAAGAUCUGCUACUCCAGACUUAAUCACAGGAAAUUUGGAAGAAUUAAUCAUGCCUAGCAGGUAGCUGAUGGAUAAAGACCCUGCAAAAGAAACUGAGGAGUAUUCAGACAUGUGGGAAGAAAAUAAGAAGAAAACACAAUUAUGGAAGCCAAAGGAACAGUGAGAAGAGAGAUAAAAGAAGAUGUCACCUGCUCCCAGCACUCAGAAAGACCAACUGCCACUCCCAGAGAGUAGCUGCCACAGAAAAACCAUUACAUUUCCCCCUCUGUAACCAUUAUAUACUUUCAACAUUUGAAACUGA